rnacentral:misc_RNA from 1 species
GAUGAAGAACGCAGCGAAAUGCGAUAAGUAAUGUGAAUUGCAGAAUUCAGUGAAUCAUCGAAUCUUUGAACGCACAUCGCGCCCGCCAGUAUUCUGGCGGGCAUGCCUGUCUGAGCGUCAUUUCAACCCUCAUGCCCCUAGGGCGUGGUGUUGGGGAUCGGCCAAAGCCCGCGAGGGACGGCCGGCCCCUAAAUCUAGUGGCGGACCCGUCGUGGCCUCCUCUGCGAAGUAGUGAUAUUCCGCAUCGGAGAGCGAUGAGCCCCUGCCGUUAAACCCCCAACUUUCCAAGGUUGACCUCAGAUCAGGUAGGAAUACCCGCUGAACUUAAGCAUAUCAAUAAGCGGAGGA